rnacentral:rRNA from 1 species
AGCGAACGCUGGCGGCAGGCCUAACACAUGCAAGUCGAGCGCCCCGCAAGGGGAGCGGCAGACGGGAGAGUAACACGUGGGAACGUACCCUUCAGUUCGGAACAACCCAGGGAAACUUGGGCUAAUACCGAAUACGUCCGUAAGGAGAAAGAUUUAUCGCUGAAGGAUCGGCCCGCGUCUGAUUAGCUAGUUGGUGAGGUAACGGCUCACCAAGGCGACGAUCAGUAGCUGGUCUGAGAGGAUGAUCAGCCUCACUGGGACUGAGACACGGCCCAGACUCCUACGGGAGGCAGCAGUGGGGAAUAUUGGACAAUGGGCGCAAGCCUGAUCCAGCUAGGCCGCGUGGAUGAUGAAGGCCCUAGGGUUGUAAAGUCCUUUCGGCGGGGAAGAUAAUGACGGUACCCGCAGAAGAAGCCCCGGCUAACUUCGUGCCAGCCGCCGCUGUAACAC